AGUCCAUAACUAAAAGAUACUAGAAAUUUAUAUUUGUGGCCAGGAAUAUGACAGAUGAAGUAAGUUGUCAGGCAGGGUUGAUCUAGUAGUGGGGAGAAGUUUCGGGGAACGGAUGGGUCCUGACUGCUGAGGCACCCCCAGGAGGGCAGCCGCAGUUGUGUUCUCAACGAACCAUGUAGGACAUUGUCGUCGUAUUCUGCUAUUACGUGUAGGAGAAGUAGGAAGUGGUACUUGACGAGUUGGAAGGAUUGGGCUGAAUUUCACAAGAUUUGCUUCUGUCUCUGCCCCAGCUGUGUGUCAGCUAUGGAUGAAGAAACGAGACCUAGGGUCCCCUCGAUUGGCUACUGCUAUGGUCUUAUCACUUACCGUGAGCUGACAUUGGCACUAACACUUACAUCUUCCCAACCACCUGGAGAGGGAGAAGUGUCGCCACAUCUCAGUGGCCUCUGCAUGAGACCCGUGUCACUGGAUCACGUCCCACUGUCUUUCAGGGUGGCCAUCACAGCAGGUUCUUCCAAUGAGAGGUUCCACAACAGGUCUAGCUUGGAAAACCAAGGGUCAGAGACCAAAUCAGGAACAGAUAAAGAUGGGAGAUCAAAGGCCAGAGGAAGCCCAAACAUGACCUUCCUGUUGGUCUUGCAGACACGGCCUAAGACCCCAAACUCAAGGCUGGAAGUGGGGCUGCGGGAGGACCACGUGCUGAGCAUGAAUGAGGCCCCGGGUUCAGGUCCCAGCACCGAAAAGUAGAUAAAUCCAAAAUCUUACACCCACACAAUUAAAACAGGAUUACACAAGGAACCACCGUAAAUACGGCUCUGAGCAUGGGAGGUGACGCCACAUUUCCCUGAGACAGAUUCAUUGUCUGUCUGUUUGUCUGUGGUUUCUUUCUUUUUGCCACCAGAAGAGCCCCAAUGCUAGACGACCAGGAAGGCUGGGCUUCCUCCAUCCCUGCCUCAGAGGGGACGCAGGCACGAGGCUCGGUGCAGCACAUGGAAGGACUCGACCCUCAGCUGCGUCGAGUAAUGACAUUUCUGGGGUUCACUUGGUCGGGGGGGGGCAGUGGUCCCGCUUCCAUCUCCUGACUUAUAGAGGUCUUCGGAACACGUCUGCCUUCAGCCCGACCCCUUCUAAAACUCCUGUGUGCGCUCCUGAAAGACAGGCAACGUGUUGCUCUUUAUCAAGUCUGUAGGUUUUGGGGGUUUGUAGAUGCUAUGUGAACUUGGGCCUUGUGUGUAUAAACAGAAAAAGAAGAAAACAAGAAAAACAAGGGCACAAACCUCGCUCCCCUUCCUGUUGGUUGACAUCUGAGGAAUUAUGUCUCAAUCCUGGCGUUUGACUUGAUAUCCUUUGGAUUAAGAGAGAAUUUUCUUAUGUAUGAAUUUGCUAAAACCGUGUUUUCCACUCACCUGUAAUUUAAUGAAGUGUUUAGUGUUUUUACUUUUGAAAAUUCUCAAAGCUGCCUUAGCUACUGGCUCUCUGAGGCUCCUUUCCGGGCUUGUUAACGCCUCCCGCCCCCACCAGGGCCGCUGCUGAUUUCUUGCUGUGGCUGCAGAAACCUGGGCUCUCCUGGCACCCUGCGGAGGCAUAGGAUUUGUUCUCUGCAUGUGACGGCUUCUGAAAAUUUCUUGCGUGUCUCAUUUUUCUCAAACGCACGUCCUUGUCCCUUCCUUCCUCCCCUCUGUGGCGGCAGACAGAGGGGAGUCAGCUCCUGCCAGCUCUCAGGAGGCCCCAGAGCGCCCACUCUCAGGGCCAAGCACGUCUGUAGCGGGCAGAGUGCGUGCCCGGGCGACAUGCUGACCUGGACCCGGGCUGACGGAGCGCAGGUCUUCCCUCCUGCAGCCCGUGAGAAGCUUUUGCAGACCUUCCGACACUGGGAGCGAGAACCAACUCUGGCUCCGUGAGCUCCUCCAACAGGUGCUGGGGAUGGAACUACCUCUGGCUCUGCUUUUUGCUGUUGUUCCUGUUCUCAAGGAGAAAAGCGUCGAGUCUCCCCCACCAACUAGGACACUAGCAGCAGUUUCUUCCAGCUCAAUGUCAGCCUGUGAGCAAUUUUACCGCUCAGAUCUGUGAGGAUAACGAGUCUCCUUGGGGUUGGUGGAGCAGCUCUUACUGGGGAGCCAGAAGAAGUACGUGGAUCUGGACUGCAGCCCAGGAGCACUUGCUGGGGCAGCUUGGGAGAUGUCACCAGUAGUGACGGGAAGGACCCCUGGCUCUGUCCCAAAGUCAAAGUGACUGUGAAGGGAGACGUCGUGAUGGAUUCAGGAUUGAGGCUGCCACACAGCACAACUAAAGACCCUCAGAAAAGAGGACUCCAGAGCUGCUGCAGGAAGUGGCCAGGACCAUGGGAUGAGUGCGCUGGAACUGAGGGGGAGGACUUUAAAGGGGAUUCAUGGCAAAGUGUCCUUUCCUGGAAUAAUUUUUAAAUUUUAAAAGAUGCAAUCAUUCAUAGUAGUUUUUGAUCAGAUCUUGUGAUUGCAGUAAGUCAGGCAGCCAGCUUUCCACUCUUCCCUUCCCUUCCUUCCUUUUUCAUCCUUUCUGUUCCUUCUUCAUGCUGCUAUUUCUGCUCUUGUAACUGCUUCUUCUCACAUAGUUAUUAUGAGACUCAGUAACUUUUAAGAGAAUAUUUUAAAUUUCAUUAAUCUCUUUGGUAUUUUUUUUAUUACAUUAUUACACCUAUGCUUUUUGUUUGUUUGCUUGCUUGUGUGUGUUGAUAAAUGA